CAGCUCUUCGAGUGGUGGGGAUGUUUAUUGGGCCUAAAGCAUUCGUAGCUUGUUCGGUAAGUCCUCCGUUAAAUCCAGCGAUUCAAUCGUUGGGCUGCGGGGGAUACUGCUGGGCUAGGGGGCGGGAGAGGCCGACGGUAUCCUCGGGGUAGGGGUGAAAUCCUAUAAUCCCGGGUAGACCACCAGUGGCGAAGGCUGUCGGCUAGAACGCGCCCGACGGUGAGGGAUGAAAGCUGGGGGAGCGAACCGGAUUAGAGACCCGAGUAGUCC
rnacentral:rRNA from 1 species